CGCGUAGGCGGCCGUUUAAGUCAGGUGUGAAAGCCCGGGGGCUUAACCCCCGGAAGUGCAUUUGAUACUGAGCGGCUUGAGUAUGGGAGAGGGAAGUGGAAUUCCUGGUGUAGAGGUGAAAUUCGUAGAUAUCAGGAGGAACACCGGUGGCGAAGGCGACUUCCUGGACCAAUACUGACGCUGAGGCGCGAAGGCGUGGGGAUCAAACA
rnacentral:rRNA from 1 species